CCUACGGGAGGCAGCAGUGGGGAAUAUUGCACAAUGGGGGGAACCCUGAUGCAGCGACGCCGCGUGGGUGAAGGAGUACUUCGGUACGUAAAGCCCUAUCAGCAGGAAAGAAAAUGAUGGUGCCUGACUACGAAGCCGCGGCUAACUACGUGGCAGCAGCCGCGGCAAUACGUAGGGGGCAGGCGUCAUCCGGAGUUACUGGGUGUAAAGGGAGCGUCGUAGGCGGUGCAAGUACGGAGUGAAAGCACGGGGCCCAACCCCGGGACUGCUUUGGAAACUGCAAGGCUGGAGUGCGGGAGGGGCAGGCGGAAUUCCUGGUGUAGCGGUGAAAUGCGUAGAUAUCAGGAGGAACACCGGCGGCGAAGGCGGCCUGCUGGACCGUAACUGACGUUGAGGCUCGAAAGCGUGGGGAGCAAACAGGAUUAGAUACCCCAGUAGUC
rnacentral:rRNA from 1 species